AUUGAACGCUAGCGGCAAGCUUUACACAUGCAAGUCGAACGAGUGGCGGACGGGUGAGUAAUGUAUGGGAAAGUGCCUGGUGGAGGGGGAUAACUACUGGAAAGGGUAGCUAAUACCGCAUACCAUCGGAUGUGCCCAUAUGGGAUUAGCUAGUUGGUAGGGUAAAGGCUUACCAAGGCGACGAUCCCUAGCUGGUCUGAGAGGAUGAUCAGCCACACUGGGACUGAGACACGGCCCAGACUCCUACGGGAGGCAGCAGUGGGGAAUUUUGGGCAAUGGGGGCAACCCUGACCCAGCCAUGCCGCGUGUAUGAUGAAGGCCUUCGGGUUGUAAAGUACUUUUGGUAGGGAAGCGGUAUCUUCAGCAUAAGCACCGGCUAACUCCGUGCCAGCAGCCGAGGUAAUAC
rnacentral:rRNA from 1 species